rnacentral:rRNA from 1 species
AACGAACGCUGGCGGCAGGCCUAAGACAUGCAAGUCGUACGAGAACGGUCCUUCGGGGCUUAGUAGAGUGGCGAACGGGUUAGUAACGCGUGGGAACAUACACAGCACGGGGGGAUAACCAUUGGAAACGAUGGCUAAUACCGCAUACGCCCUAUGGGGGAAAGAUUUAUCGGUGUUGGAUUGGCCCGCGUUAGAUUAGCUAGUUGGUGGGGUAAUGGCUCACCAAGGCGACGAUUUAUAGCUGGUUUGAGAGGAUGAUCAGCAACACUGGAACUGAGACACGGUCCAGACUCCUACGGGAGGCAGCAGUCGGGAAUAUUGUGCAAUGGGGGCAACCCUGACACAGCCAUGCCGCGUGAGUGAAGAAGGCCUUAGGGUUGUAAAUCUCUUUCAGAUGUGAGGAUGAUGACGAUAGCAUCACAAGAAGCUCCGGCUAACUUCGUGCCAGCCGCCGCCGUAACAC